AGUGAACGCUGGCGGUGCGCCUAAGACAUGCAAGUCGAGUGGGUUUAGACCCACGGCGAACGGCUGCGUAACACAUGGGUACCUACCCCGAACUCAGGAAUAACCUCCCGAAAGGGAGGCUAAUGCCGGAUAGUCCCGCAAGGGUAAAGCUUUUGCGGUUCGGGAGGGGCCUGUGGCCUAUCAGUUAGUUGGUGAGGUAACGGCUCACCAAGACAAUGACGGGUAGCUGGUCUGAGAGGACGACCAGCCAGAAUGGAACUGAGACACGGUCCAUACUCCUACGGGAGGCAGCAGUUAGGAAUCUUCCACAAUGGGCGAAAGCCUGAUGGAGCGACACCGCGUGAAGGAUGAAGCCUUUAACUAGGUGUAAACUUCUGUUAUGAGGGACGAAAUUUUUGACGGUACCUCAUGAGAAAGCACCGGCUAAAUUCUGUGCCAGCAGCCGCGGUAAU
rnacentral:rRNA from 1 species